UUAUUUUAUACAAAUAUAAAAAUCACUAACAUAUUUCGUUAUUAUGUAUAUCGUUGUUAAAUUAGCAACUAUACAAACUCCUUAAAAUAUUUUACAUACUGCGUAGAUGGCUUCCUCUCGCAUUAGUCCCUCUACCUUAGGCAUCUUUGUUGGGUUGCGUUAUUUAAUUAUUGAAGGCUGACAGUAUGUGUGAUUGUGUUCCGCCAACGUAGCAUUCAAACGCUUUCAAUCAUUAUCGUUUUUAGUUGUGAUUGCUUCUAUGAUUCCAUCAAAUGAGGCCCGUUCAAGUAAGCUGUGUGUGGUUAUAGAGUUUCUGAUGCCAGUAAAAUUAUCAUAUCAGAUCAUGUACGGAUUCCUACUGACACAUGUUGAGAGUAAGCAAAAAAAGCUCAAUCAUGCUUAUUUUGAGUAUUUUAAAACAUAAAUAAAAGUAAAAAUUAUUGUAGGAAAAGUCCGGUCAUCUCUCGAUGACUCCAAUUAGUGGAGAAUAUAAGAAAUACUAAAGGAAUUAUUUAUA